ACACUUACCUGGCAGGGGAGACACCAUGAUCACGAAGGUGGUUUUCCCAGGGUGAGGCUUAUCCAUUGCACUCCGGAUGUGCUGACCCCUGAGAUUUCCCAAACGUGCGAAACUCGACUGCAUAAUUUGUGGUAGUGAGGGACUGCGUUCGCGCUUUCCCCUG
rnacentral:snRNA from 1 species